rnacentral:rRNA from 1 species
CCUACGGGAGGCAGCAGUGAGGAAUAUUGGUCAAUGGGCGCGAGCCUGAACCAGCCAAGUAGCGUGAAGGAUGACUGCCCUACGGGUUGUAAACAUCUUUUAUAAAGGGAUAAAGUGAGGCACGUGUGCCUUUUCCUAUUGACGUUAUGAAUAAGGAUCGGCUAACUCCGUUCCAGCAGCCGCGGUAAUACGGAGGAUCCGAGCGUUAUCCGGAUUUAUUGGGUGUAAAGGGAGAGUAGGCGGGUUGUUAAGUCAGUUGUGAAAGUUUGCGGCUCAACCGGAAAAUUGCAGUUGAUACUGGCAUGCUAGAGUACAGUAGAGGUAGGUAGAAUUCGUGGUGUAGCGGUGAAAUGCGUAGAGAUCACGAAGAACACCGAUUGCGAAGGCAGCCCGCUGGACUAUAACUGACGCUUAUGCGCGAAAGUGUGGGUAGCAAACAGGAUUAGAUACCCCAGUAGUC